CUCGUAGGUGGCCAACUAAGUCAGACGUGAAAUCCCCAGGCUUAACCUGGGAACUGCGUCUGAUACUGGAUGGCUUGGAUUCGGGAGAGGGAUGCAGAAUUCCAGGUGUAGCGGUGAAAUGCGUAGAUAUCUGGAGGAACACCGGUGGCGAAGGCGGCAUCCUGGACCAACAUUGACGCUGAGGAGCGAAAGCCAGGGGAGCAAAC
rnacentral:rRNA from 1 species